CUAUUACUCCCCCCGUUCCGAAUUAUUUGUCGCAUAUAUGGAUGUAUCUAGAUGUAUUUUAGUUCUAGAUACAUCCAUUUAUGUGACGAGUAAUUUGGAACGGAUGGAGUAGUAG
rfam:Triticum aestivum genome assembly, contig: Triticum_aestivum_CS42_TGACv1_scaffold_378481_5AL